UCCCACCGUCACGCGGAACCAUUCGCACCAGAUCGCUAGGGUUUAAGCGCCUCGCCGCCUCCGGAGCUCGAACCCCUCGCCGCCUGCCGUAUUCGGAGAAAGCGAAUCGAGAUGUUCCUCGGCUCGAUCCCGCGGCGCCCGAGCAAGGAAGCCGCGUACAAGCAGCUGCGGUCGCACCUCACCGUCAUGGCCGCCUGCGUCGCCGUCAUCCGCGCCGUCCCCUACGUCCUCCACUUCCUCACCCGCGACGCCGACGUCCAGGAGCUCAAGCUCGAGCUCUAGAGCCUCCCGCCCCCAUGCCGACCCCGCCCCCGUCCCCACAAGGUGCUACUGGAAUGGGCCGAUCGUCUCUUCCAAGUUACGUCCAGCGUUGAGUUUCCUAUGUGUACCGGUCAAAACAUGGGUCCAGUGACCACAGAGAGUGCUUGCUUAAACUCUUUCUACACUCUUUAAAAGUCGGCGACGGUACCUGUUAGCUUUGGUGUUUCCGGAGACUGGUAUUCUGUUUUGCGUGGCUGUAUUAUGAUGUAGUCACAUUUCAUUGGGAGUUUCCGGAGGAGCUCAUGACCCACCGUGCUGUGCCCCCCUA